rnacentral:tRNA from 2 species
GGCGCUAUAGUGUAGUGGUUAUCACUCGGGAUUCUGAUUCACAAUUUCCCGAAACCCAGGUUCGAACCCUGGUAGCGCCU